UAGGGGGGGGGGUGCUGAAGAUAUCUCAGUACCGGCAGAUAACCGCUCACAAGCACGCGGCAGUAAAGUGAGCACUCCAUGGGCGGCGGAACCACGAAAAACUAUAAUAUGAUGCGAUUGCCAAGUUGGGCAAUAUGUGCUCCAUGUACGUGUGAAAACCUGCAGGCUGUUUGUAAACCGUCGCGAAAGGAGAGGUUGUAAACGGGACGAAUUAACCAUUGUUACAUAUGCCUUUGCCACGUACACGUGUGUUUUGCGAAAGCUAUGGAUCCGAGGUGUGAAAUAAAGAAGUCAUCAAUUUAAA